rnacentral:rRNA from 3 species
UGGGGAAUAUUGGACAAUGGGCGAAAGCCUGAUCCAGCCAUGCCGCGUGAGUGAUGAAGGCCUUAGGGUUGUAAAGCUCUUUUGUCCGGGAAGAUAAUGACUGUACCGGAAGAAUAAGCCCCGGCUAACUUCGUGCCAGCAGCCGCGGUAAUACGAAGGGGGCUAGCGUUGCUCGGAAUCACUGGGCGUAAAGGGCGCGUAGGCGGACUUUUAAGUCGGAGGUGAAAGCCCAGGGCUCAACCCUGGAAUUGCCUUCGAUACUGGGAGUCUUGAGUUCGGAAGAGGUUGGUGGAACUGCGAGUGUAGAGGUGAAAUUCGUAGAUAUUCGCAAGAACACCGGUGGCGAAGGCGGCCAACUGGUCCGAAACUGACGCUGAGGCGCGAAAGCGUGGGGAGCAAACAGG